rnacentral:tRNA from 1 species
CAAUAAGAGAAAAUAAUACUCACUUUUGGCUUACAAGACCAAUGCUCUAAAUUUAAGCUAUUAUUGC